GGAUGCGAUGAUACCAGCACUAAAGCACCAGAUCCCAUCAAAACUCCGAAGUUAAGCGUGCUUGGGCGAGAGUAGUACAAGGAUGGGUGACCUCCUGGGAAGUCCUCGUGUUGCAUUCC
rnacentral:rRNA from 1 species